AGGUGCCACAAGAGCUGGCAACAUGUUGCAGCUGGCUGCAGACCCAUGUUGCCAGCGUGUGGCAGUCAUCGUUGUUGUUGUUAUUGUUGUUGAUGUACAACUGACUGACUGUUGGUUGUUAACUGUUUUCUGUGUGAGCAUUUCAAAUGAGAUGCGCUGACACCUCAAACACAGGGAGAGAGAGAGAGAGAGAGAGAGGCAGGCACAUGCAACAAUGACAACAACAGCAUUAAGGCAGCAAUACGCCCCCUGCGCCAGCAUAGCUGACAGCCCUCUGACAGUUUUUGUUGUUCACGCGAGUAAUUCAUUUGUGUUGCUGCCGUUUGCUGCUGCAACCAGCAACAACAACAACAGCAGCAGCAGCAGCAGCAGCGGCAGCAACUCCCCUUGGCUGUCACCUCGUUGCUUCAUUUCACAUCACAAAAAUGCCAAGCAAAGCGACGCGCGUUGACAUGUGAGAGACGACGAGGACGUCGCCGUCGCCGUCGCCGGCUCUGCCAGGACAUGCUGCCAAGGGCCCCCACGAAACGUUCCUGUGACAAGUGACAGUUAAGUUGCUGUCGUUGUUGUUGCUGUUGCUAUCGUUGUUGUUGUUGUUGUUGUUGGUGCUGUUGCGCCAACGUCAGGCGACGUAAUUCAUUUUGCAUGUGCGUGCAAAAUUUUCAAGCGUAUUUAUUACGUAAAUUAACAACAGCCACAGCAGCAACAGCAACAGCAACAGCAGCAACAACAACUGCAACAUACCCGCACAUCAGCGACGACAGCAGGAUGUUCAUGACGCAGCGGAAAUAAAUUUUGCGUGAACAAUACAACGCAUUACACUGCAGGUUAGGUUAGUUUUUGAGCUCGAGGCGAGGCUCUAUAGCUCCAUGGCUGGCAGAAUUAAUGGCAGAGCGGCUGACAGGCUAAAAGGGAGAAAAGGGGACUCUCACUCCCGCAGACAACUCACAGGCAAACUCAUGCAGAGGACUAUGCACACAUGCUAAUGAGCCGUCAGCGAAGAGACGAGCAGCGAAUCGAUAGGCAGCUAGCCAGGCACAAGAAGUGGACAAGGGGAACGCAGAUCAGCAGGAGUGGCAGACGCUGUCCUGGCUGACGGAUGAGCAGCACAGGCAGGAAGUGGCUGUCAGGCGGAAAGGAGGAGAUAGGCAGCAGCUUCAAAAACUUGCUUGCCAAAAAAGAGGCAAACGCAAUUAACAAAAGUAACAGAAACCAAGAUAAAGUUGAAAAAAAUCAACGAAUUGAUUCAUUGAAAAUAAUACAAAAAUCAAUUCCCAAACAGAAACAUUACUUUUGACUAUAAAAAAGUUCUGCUCAUAAUAUACGACCAUCGACCACAGAUGGACGCUUUUAUAAACUGUGAGAUAUAGUCAAAAAGGCCAGAUCUGAAGUUAAUAAAACAUGAAUAGACGGACCGAGGAACGGAUUAAUAGAUGAUCGAGCAAAUACAAAUACACCUAAUUUUAUCAAUAUUCAUUUAGAAAGAGUAUUAAAAAAAACGCACUAAAAUAUCUGACAAAUUCCGAAGUAUAAUGGCAACACUUAAUUUGAAAAUUAUGGGCAAAAGGAAGUGCCAUAAAUUUACAGACAUGACGGCGGUUUGGUCGCGAAUCUGUUGAAAUCCCGGACCAGGGGACGGAGCAAUCAGCGGUCGGCAAAACUCUUUGGAAAACUGGUUUCUGCGCGCCAAGCCAGACUCUGAAGCUUAGUUAAUGUUUCUAUCAAUUUGAAGAGCGGCUCGUAAAAUUUGAGAAAUGUUGACCAUGGCCAGUUCCAACCUGAAGACGGCACAGCUGCCACUCGUUUAAUGUUACAUCAAUUUAUGUGAUUUCCAUACAAGUUAAUUGAUUGUAAGCUCCACAAACAAUGCAACAGGUGACAGUCAUCAAAUGCCUAAUCUUAAUGCAUUUUUAUGGCCUGGCAAACAUCUAAUGUGAGCUGGCAGCUGGGCUAAAACAGCUGCUACUCAAUUUCGAUAAACGCAAUAGAUGGAACAAAUAAAAAUGUCGAUGGAUGUGCCAAAGUCAACUUAAGUAACCCAUUACGAUUGCAAUACUUUUGUUUAAGGCGAAAGCGACUAACAAAAAACAUGAAGAUCCUGGCAUUCAAACAUACGGACGGACGAACGAACAGGCAGACGGACAUGGCUAGCUUGACUAUUGAUGCUGAUCGAGAGAAGAGUUUGAAGAUGCUUUUUUGCACAAAUACAUUAUACCCCUUUUACACAUUUUCAAUGAGUUCAGGAUAUAAUGAGUUUCCUAUAAUUUUGGCGAACGGGAUACUGAUAUGAUUUUGCGCAUUUGUUGUAGGCAUUUUGGGUAUAUCCAUUUGGUAUUCGGUAGUUUCGCCUCCAUCUUUGUACACUAAAAUGCUUGCCCUGACAGACUGUCUGAUUGGUAAUGCGUUAAAACCUGUCUUAGCGUGCACCUUCAUCAGAUAGGUGCCUAGCUCUUACGCGCUAGCCUGUGCGUUGAGAAGAACCAAUUUUAUAUUUAGAGAUUACUCUUCUCUCCAUUUGUAAGGGGUGAAAUGUUUUACUAAUAGAUAACUUGUAGCCGAAUGUGAGGGGCUGUAACAUCACGUCGUUAAGAUAUACAUGAUAUAUAUAGAAAGACAGCGAAAGAGCCAAAAAGCAAUAAAUAAUAACGAAAAUAAAUGUAAAAUCUUCAAUCUGCAAGUUAAUGACUUAAUCACAUGACAGCUGCACAUGUCGGAAAGGAAGAAAGAAAGAAUGCCAGGCUUUACUCAAAUUUAAGCAAUACCACAGAAACAGAAACACCGAGGGUCUGGAAUACGGGCCUGUGCAGAGACAGGAAAAUUUGACAGCGGACACGUAGGAGGUCUUCACCCAAACGCAACCAACAGUGGGCAGGCAAGACCCUGUCCGGGUGCGGAUUCGGGUCGAGCUGCUGUCAGUUUGGCAAGCUUUUAACCCAUGCUCGCAAUUGAAUUUCUGUGGGGCGCACACGAAACGCAGCGGGCAGACAGACACGGGCUGACAAGCAGCGGGGACUAGGCCAGGACUUUCAACUAACUGACAUUGGCAGGCGGUCCUCGGCGGGGGAUCAGCUGCAACCACCUUGAAUUGACACUGAUAGCAGGGCAGUUCCAGUUCCAGUUUCAGUGGCCGUUGCCGAUCCCAAGGCGAGCGAGAACUAAACAAACUUGUAGCGGCGCUUUGAAUUGACUUUGUUAACUCGACUUGACUGGCAAUGUUCGAGUGGAAUAUGCGACUAUUUACGUGUAUCCAGAGCUUUGGACAUGCUGUGAAAUCCGCAAAUUGCCAUGUCAUUAUUUGUUAGGAUCAAACCGAAACCUACAGCGACGCCAAUUGCGACACCGUCGGCCGACAGUCAAGGACCACGAGGACACUGGUGACGCCCCUGCCUGCACACGUUGGCCUGGCGUCAAAAGUGUAAUUGCCAGCCCGCACAUCCCCGAAUGCCACUCUCCGAUUCCUAUUCCCAUUCCCAUUCCCAUUCCCAUUCCCAUUCCCAUUUCCAUGCCCUUACCCAUACCAUACCCAUACCCUUUCCCCAGGCAUUGUCGUUCCUAUGGCGAUUGCGAUUGCAGAAGAGGGCUGUAACCCGACGUCGGCUUACAUACUCAAGUCAAGCGUCCGCCCGUCAGACAGUUGGUAACUGUCAGUGGGCAUGUUUGACUUGACAGCAUAAUAUUACAAAUCCCUGCCGAAAGCAGACACUAACGAUGACAUGCGGCCGAAUGGUUGAACGGCCGAACGGCUGCUCGACGCGACGGCCCAAAUGGGCAAACGGCAAAAAGGACAACCACAAGCCAGGACGUAAGCUGACUUAUUGGUGAUAAGCGACAACAACCAAAGCAAAGCACAAAACUAUGCCUCUUUGAAUGCGGGGACGCGGAACAUAUAUAUUGCGAAAGGUAGUUGCUCCGCGACUAUGUUUGAUGAUAACAAUAUUUGGCUUGCAUUGGAUAAUUCAUGUU